rnacentral:rRNA from 1 species
UGGAUUCGCUAGUAAUCGCGCAUCAGCCACGGCGCGGUGAAUACGUUCCCGGGCCUUGUACACACCGCCCGUCAAGCCAUGGGAGCCGGGGGUACCUGAAGUGCGUAACCGCAAGGAGCGCCCUAGGGUAAAACUGGUGACUGGGGCUAAGUCGUAACAAGGUAUC